GACGAACGCUGGCGGCGUGCUUAACACAUGCAAGUCGAACGGAAAGGCCCCUUCGGGGGUACUCGAGUGGCGAACGGGUGAGUAACACGUGAGUAACCUGCCCUUGACUUCGGGAUAACUUCAGGAAACUGGGGCUAAUACCGGAUAGGAAUCCUUGCUGCAUGGUGGGGGUUGGAAAGCUUCGGCGGUUUUGGAUGGACUCGCGGCUUAUCAGCUUGUUGGUGGGGUAGUGGCUUACCAAGGCCUUGACGGGUAGCCGGCCUGAGAGGGCGACCGGCCACAUUGGGACUGAGAUACGGCCCAGACUCCUACGGGAGGCAGCAGUGGGGAAUAUUGCACAAUGGGCGGAAGCCUGAUGCAGCAACGCCGCGUGCGGGAUGACGGCCUUCGGGUUGUAAACCGCUUUCAGCAGGGGCGAAGCUUGUGGUGACGGUACCUGCAGAAGAGGCACCGGCUAACUACGUG
rnacentral:rRNA from 1 species